GCCCUGAGGGAUAGCUUAGUUGGUAGUGCACGAGACUCUUAAUCUCAGGGUCGUGGGUUUGAGUCCCAGGUUGGGUG